rnacentral:rRNA from 1 species
GGCCACUGCUAUGGGGGUCCGACUAAGCCAUGCGAGUCAUGGGGCGCGCUCUGCGCGCACCGGCGGACGGCUCAGUAACACGUCGGUAACCUACCCUCGGGAGGGGGAUAACCCCGGGAAACUGGGGCUAAUCCCCCAUAGGCCUGGGGUACUGGAAGGUCCCCAGGCCGAAAGGGGCAUCUGCCCGCCCGAGGAUGGGCCGGCGGCCGAUUAGGUAGUUGGUGGGGUAACGGCCCACCAAGCCGAAGAUCGGUACGGGCCAUGAGAGUGGGAGCCCGGAGAUGGACACUGAGACACGGGUCCAGGCCCUACGGGGCGCAGCAGGCGCGAAACCUCCGCAAUGCGGGCAACCGCGACGGGGGGACCCCCAGUGCCGUGGCAUCGCCACGGCUUUUCCGGAGUGUAAAAAGCUCCGGGAAUAAGGGCUGGGCAAGGCCGGUGGCAGCCGCCGCGGUAAUACCGGCGGCCCAAGUGGUGGCCGCUAUUAUUGGGCCUAAAGCGUCCGUAGCCGGGCCCGUAAGUCCCUGGCGAAAUCCCACGGCUCAACCGUGGGGCUUGCUGGGGAUACUGCGGGCCUUGGGACCGGGAGAGGCCGGGGGUACCCCUGGGGUAGGGGUGAAAUCCUAUAAUCCCAGGGGGACCGCCAGUGGCGAAGGCGCCCGGCUGGAACGGGUCCGACGGUGAGGGACGAAGGCCAGGGGAGCGAACCGGAUUAGAUACCCGGGUAGUCCUGGCUGUAAAGGAUGCGGGCUAGGUGUCGGGCGAGCUUCGAGCUCGCCCGGUGCCGAAGGGAAGCCGUUAAGCCCGCCGCCUGGGGAGUACGGCCGCAAGGCUGAAACUUAAAGGAAUUGGCGGGGGAGCACAACAAGGGGUGGAGCGUGCGGUUU